CAAUGAAGCAUUUAAAAAAGGGAGAUGACCCAAGCAGUGACAAAACAUAUUGUAAGCCUUCCGACAUGAUCAAGCAUGCCUUGAAAAACCAGUACUAUUAGACACAUGAAGGCUUUAGAAAGACAUGCAACACUUGUAAACAGUUUUAGGUAAGAUUGGAAUAAAAUUACUACUUUCUGUAAGGCCAUGUUAACUGGAAAAAAGUGAGAUCUAAAACUGACCCUUCUUCAUUCCUUGAGAUAAUAAAACUGAG